rnacentral:rRNA from 1 species
CCUACGGGUGGCAGCAGUGAGGAAUAUUGGUCAAUGGACGCGAGUCUGAACCAGCCAAGUAGCGUGAAGGAUGACUGCCCUAUGGGUUGUAAACUUCUUUUAUAUGGGAAUAAAAUGUUCCACGUGUGGGAUUUUGUAUGUACCAUAUGAAUAAGGAUCGGCUAACUCCGUGCCAGCAGCCGCGGUAAUACGGAGGAUCCGAGCGUUAUCCGGAUUUAUUGGGUUUAAAGGGAGCGUAGGUGGGUUGUUAAGUCAGUUGUGAAAGUUUGCGGCUCAACCGUAAAAUUGCAGUUGACACUGGCAGUCUUGAGUACAGUAGAGGUGGGCGGAAUUCGUGGUGUAGCGGUGAAAUGCUUAGAUAUCACGAAGAACUCCGAUUGCGAAGGCAGUUCACUGGACUGCCACUGACACUGAGGCUCGAAAGUGUGGGUAUCAAACAGGAUUAGAUACCCGAGUAGUC